rnacentral:rRNA from 1 species
UGGGGAAUUUUGCACAAUGGGGUAAACCCUGAUGCAGCGACGCCGCGUGAUUUAGAAGGCCUUCGUGUUGUAAAAAUCUUUUCUAUGGGAAGAAAAUGACAGUACCAUAGGAAUAAGGACCGGCUAAUUACGUGCCAGCAGCCGCGGUAAUACGUAAGGUCCGAGCGUUGUCCGGAAUCAUUGGGCGUAAAGGGUACGUAGGCGGGUAAGCAAGUUAGAAGUGAAAUCCUAUAGCUCAACUAUAGUAAGCUUUUAAAACUGCUCAUCUUGAGGUAUGGAAGGGAAAGUGGAAUUCCUAGUGUAGCGGUGAAAUGCGCAGAUAUUAGGAGGAAUACCGGUGGCGAAGGCGACUUUCUGGCCAUAACCUGACGCUGAGAUACGAAAGCGUGGGUAGCAAACAGG